UACGAACCGUCCAAACGUUAUUCGGAAUCACUGGGCUUAAAGAGUCCGUAGGCGGCCAAUUAGGUGAGGUGUGAAAUCCCCCGGCUUAACCGAGGAAUUGCGCUUCAAACCGAUUGGCUAGAGGAAGAUAGAGGAAAGCGGAACUGAUGGUGGAGCGGUGAAAUGUGUUGAUAUUGGAAGGAACGCCGGUGGCGAAAGCGACACACUGGACCUUGUCUGACGCUGAGGCACGAAAGCCAGGGGAGCAAACGGG
rnacentral:rRNA from 1 species